GAGACAUGAGACCCAUAGGAUAGUUUCUAACUUUUCCUUUAAGCGGCGCGCCUCCGUUUAUGUUUCU
rnacentral:tRNA from 1 species